UACGUAGGGUCCGAGCGUUGUCCGGAAUUAUUGGGCGUAAAGGGCGUGUAGGCGGGAAGGAAAGUCGGGCGUGAAAUCCCUGGGCUCAACCCAGGAACUGCACUCGAAACUUCUUUUCUUGAGUGCCGGAGAGGAAAGCGGAAUUCCUGGUGUAGAGGUGAAAUUCGUAGAUAUCAGGAGGAACACCAGUGGCGAAGGCGGCUUUCUGGACGGUAACUGACGCUGAGACGCGAAAGCGUGGGGAGCAAACAGG
rnacentral:rRNA from 1 species